rnacentral:rRNA from 1 species
GACGAACGCUGGCGGCGUGCUUAACACAUGCAAGUCGAACGGAAAGGCCCUGCUUUUGUGGGGUGCUCGAGUGGCGAACGGGUGAGUAACACGUGAGUAACCUGCCCUUGACUUUGUGAUAACUUCAGGAAACUGGGGCUAAUACCGGAUAGGAGCUCCUGCUGCAUGGUGGGGGUUGGAAAGUUUCGGCGGUUGGGGAUGGACUCGCGGCUUAUCAGCUUGUUGGUGGGGUAGUUGCUUACCAAGGCUUUGACGGGUAGCCGGCCUGAGAGGGUGACCGGCCACAUUGGGACUGAGAUACGGCCCAGACUGCUACGGGAGGCAGCAGUGGGGAAUAUUGCACAAUGGGCGGAAGCCUGAUGCAGCAACGCCGCGUGCGGGAUGACGGCCUUCGGGUUGUAAACCGCUUUCGCCUGUGACGAAGCGUGAGUGACGGUAAUGGGUAAAGAAGCACCGGCUAACUACGUG